rnacentral:rRNA from 1 species
GGGUGACCCUUCGGGCGACCGAGCGGCGGACGGGUGAGUAAGGCAUCGGAAUCUGCCCUGAUGUGGGGGGAUAACGUAGGGAAACUUACGCUAAUACCGCAUACGACCGAGAGGUGAAAGCGGGGGACCGAAAGGCCUCGCGCAGCAGGAUGAGCCGAUGUCCGAUUAGCUAGUUGGUGGGGUAAAGGCCUACCAAGGCGACGAUCGGUAGCUGGUCUGAGAGGAUGAUCAGCCACACUGGGACUGAGACACGGCCCAGACUCCUACGGGAGGCAGCAGUGGGGAAUAUUGGACAAUGGGGGCAACCCUGAUCCAGCAAUGCCGCGUGUGUGAAGAAGGCCUUCGGGUUGUAAAGCACUUUUAUCGGGAACGAAACACCGUGGGUUAAUACCCUGCGGGACUGACGGUACCCGAGGAAUAAGCACCGGCUAACUCCGUG